AGAGAACGAGACCCUGACUCCUGUCCUUCCCUGCUUUGUCUGGUGUUCCUGCUGGGCCAGCUGGUGCCUAUGUUUGUAGGAGCUCUGCACAGGACAAGCCGGGACACAGGCGGGUAAGUGUCGUUGGAGAAUUAUGUCCUCCUAGCUGCUUUGGGUAGGAACUCCUUCCUGGCGCCAGACACAGGUGUUUGCAUGCUAGCAGCUGGAGCAAGGCUUUGGGACUUUGGGAAGCAACCAUCCUGUUUGUAAUGUCCGGGAGUGCUGUUCGGCGCAGGGCACAGUUAUUCACAAGCUCAGGCUUUGCUAGCUUUCCUUUGCACGUGUGAUUGUGGGAGUGAUGCAAUAGUUGGUGUGUAUAGCCAAAGCCUCGUGGGAGCACUCUGCACAUGUGGGAAGUCGUGGGUUUUCCCGUACAGAGCUGAGGUGCACACAGCCCUUCUCCUUGUGUGUGUGGCCCUCCCACCAAAAUGCCUGAGCUCCCCUGUAGCUGUUGCCCAAAUGGCCCUGCCUGGGCUGGAGGGUGGGGAGCCAUACACUCCCCAGCAUACACUUCUGGAGAGGAAGCCUCUCAGCUUCCCCUCUGCUGGAAAAGGGGAUUGCCUCCGUGUUUCUUCUCCUUGCACUCUCGUCCCACCUGCUGCAUGGGAUUUUAUCUCCUUGCGUGCUUUAAUUCUUCCCCUUUGUGUCAUUGGCGUGCAGUGCUAAGCGUGGUGUUGGAGCGGGUGCUACCUUCCAGGUAAGAAGCUGGCACUGGGUUUCUUCAGCAGUGUUGCUGCUGGCUAAGGAGCUCUUCCUUUUAACUCCCUUAAGCCACGUGGGAUGUGAGCGGCUGGAGAGCUGCCAGAGCUCAGGAUGCAGGAAGAUUGCCUUCAAUUGCCUAGCUCUCCUUUGCUUGGAGGCAGAGCUAGCGCCACCAAGACAUGGUUUCCAGGCUGACAACCCCACUUUGAAGCUUCUUUUAAGCAGGAGUGAAAUCAUUUCCGGGAGGUGUGUCACAUUCAGCAUGUGCAAUGGCUCCUGAGGACUGGGCUGCAGCAGUGGUGGUGAGCAUGGCUUUGGCUGUGGGAGCUGGCAGGGCUGAGCAAUGCAGGCCCUGGCACCCUCUCCCCAGGGCGCCGGCGAUGAGGUGAGGAACUGCAUGGGGUCUGUGACGCCUCCUGCCAGGGCCACCCCGCAGCACAAGAGCAGAUGGGGCUGCCUGCCCCCUGCUCAUCUUUCUGACAGACACUUCGCCACCACCAUGCUGCCUGUGUCCCAUCAGCACGAGGCGGGGGGCAGCUUCCAGCAUGAGCCCGCGCAGUGUUACGAUGGAGAGCAGGCAGGUUGCUGAGAGCAGCGGACAGGAGAGAGGCUGGUGCCAGCCGAGGGGCAGACAGGGAGUGUGGGGAGCUGGGCUGCAAGAGGCGUGGGAUGGUGAAGGCAGAGGGAGCUGCUGGGGGGCUCAGGGCUUCACACUGGGGUGCCUGGCUUGAGCUCACGGAUCGGCGAUUGCAGCUGUUUGUUGUCCUGUGCCCUGCCCAGCACCACCUUUCCAUGCCCUUAGCGUGGCUCCCCAGGGCUUCUGUCUCCCUUCUGUGACUCAGACUUUAUGUUGCAGGACGAUUAAAUACUUCCCAUGGGAGUGAACGCUGACCUGUCCGGUUCUUCUCCCACUCUACAUUGCAUCGCCCACCUCACUCAGGGUGAAGUCCGAGGUGCUCUUGAGGGUGGUGGAAACCGACAGUACUGCGAGACCAGGCCCAAGAAGCUGUAGCUGAACUACCUGCUGGAACAUUGUUCCCUUUCACCACAGAAGGGAACUGCCAGUUCCUCUACAGAACAAGGGGAUGCAGCCCGUUCUCAAGACUGUCCUCUGACUUAGGCAUCCUUGCAAUACUGCUCAUCAUCUCCGCUCUUCACAAAAAAGGCAUAGAUCUUAGCAUGGUGGGCUGCUGCUGGUUUGGAACUGCUUGUAAGCACUGUGAAGAAUCAGCAAAAAAUACAGCCUCAGCAUAUGUCAGGCACAGAGGAAGGAGGAGGAGGGGUGACUUUCCCUUAAGAACACGUGUCCCAUCUGCAAAUCAGUGCGUCAUUUCCAACCUCACCAAAAAGGCAGGAUCUCACGCCAGGCUUCUCAUGUGCCAUGGCCUUCUGUGGAUUCCCAGCAAGCUCUGUGCAUGCAGGUACUGCAGGAGGCAGUCUGGAAAGGGUCUCGGUUCUGGACAUGCACUGAAAGGCGGUACAACUGCCUCGUUCCAGGAAGGGCAAAGUUCCUGAAGUCUUGGCAACGGAGAGGGCUGCGAGGGCAGAAACGUCUAAGAGCAUCCACAGAGUUCUGCAUGCGCCUCUCUCACACACCAACCAACUGCAACGACCUCCGUACACCUGAGACAAAAGACAUCUUUCGAGAGGCAUUUCCAGCUUCUCUUCCAACACUGCCUACUCGCCUCAUAUUUUCCAGUUUGGCUGCUGACAUAAUGUGCAGGAGUGGGCAGCCGGGGAAGAAUCUGGAGACAGAUGGGCAUUUUGAUGCGUUACCCCAGUGACAAGGCCUCUCCCCUCUACCAGCCCCUGCGCACACGCUCCUCCUGCUACCCACAGCCUUCAAUCAGGGGCUAGCCCAGGUCAUUCCCAUGUCAAGAGAAAUCAGGCAACGCCGUACCCAGCCCCAGAGCUCAGGCACUGGGCUUCCUCACACCUCGGACAGGUGCUGCCACUCCAGUUUUCCAGGCCGGGGCCAGCACUGGUGCACACUUGCUCUCCUGUGCAGCCUCGGCAGCCUCUCUGGCUUGCUCUUCUUCUGCUCUGCUCUGUGCAGGACGGCCGCAGUGCUCUCCUCUUUCCCAGGCGGGGCACUGGUGAGGCUGGCCGAACCUCCGGCAGUGUUUCCUGAUGCCGCCAAGCCUGCAGUGGCACCACAGGACGAAUCUGAGGCUGCUUCUGACCCCCCUCAGGUGCUCUCAACUCACAGCGCUGGAGAAGCCAGCAACUGCAGGGCCUGUGCGUCCUCCAGCAUGCUUGGUCUGCUCUGCCCUCAGAAAGCCCCAUGAGAAGCACGGCGGCAGGCAGGGACCCUGCCCUCAUAGCCUGUCUGAGCACACAGUCCUCGCCACCUCCCCUCGGACACCACAUACCCCAGCCCCCGGACCAUCUUGGCAGCCUCCACUGCAUUUGCAUUUGAAAAGCCUCAGCACAUGGAUUAUUGGUAUGUACGGGAUAAUUGGGCUAUAUGAUCGGCAUAAGGAAAACAGUGGAAGAAAUUUGCCUAAGCCCCAGGUCGCAACUUUAGCAGCAACUGUAAGUAAUUCAACCAAUUCAACUAAUUUGCUUGUGGAAUCCGUUCCACCCUAUGCACCUUCUUC